ensembl:snoRNA small nucleolar RNA SNORD38
UUUCCAUGAUGAUAACUUUGUCCAGUUCUGCUACUGAAUGCAAGUGGUGACAGCAAAGACUCCUGAGAAA